ensembl:lncRNA
UUUUUUUGUUAAACACUGAAAUACAGCAUAUUUAAAUAAUUUUUAAUGUUGAAAACAUACAUAGUCCCAAACUUCCCAGCAACCCCCUCAAUUUCCCAAAUUCUUUCUUUGUCAGUUGCAAAAUGUAUAGAAUUGCAGGAAAUUAGCUUUCACAUUGCCACAUUUUAUGUCAGCUCCAUGGAAAAAUUAAUAUAAUUGCAGGAAAGUAGCCCUGUUUUAAUCCAGAAAAAGUGCUUAUUGGUAAUAUCACACUUGCCUGAUAAUAUGGUAUGGUGCCAUGUAUAGGCUAUGGUAAGAGUCAGCCCUAAACAUUUUUUUUUGCAAUAUGUUAUUGGGCUCAUUUAUGGGGGGAGAUCAUAGACAGAUGGUGUUGGGAUAAUUAGAUUUUCAUUCAUUUUAGAGUAGAACGUCCUUUUAAAAAGAAAUGACAUUCUCACAAUCCUUCUAUAAAAACUGUCCGGGGGGUGGGGGCGGCACGGCGCAUGUCCCCUAUGUCUGCCCCAACCCCCACAACCUUUUCCACUUCUGAAAAAAACAAAAUAAAAUUGGGGGAAACAUUGGACUCAUGCACACACACACACCACACGCAAAAACGUACACACACACACACCAUCCAAACUUGACACUAAAUUAGGUUUCUUUAAUAUUAUAAUUCUCAAUUAUACUCUUAUGCUAUUCAACAGUUAGUUCAGUAUGUACACACUGGUCAUAUCUCAAAUGGCCCCCUAUUCCUCACAUAGUGCACCAGUCCUGACCAGAGCCCCAAAGGCUUGUUCCUUUAGUCCCUCCGUGGGGUAUAAAUCCAGAAUCUCCUCAUUGCCGGCCAUCAAAAUGUAUGUGUUUACAUGUGUAUUUCAAACUAUGUUGGGGUAAAAAUCGGAGUAUAAUGCUGGUAUGGAUGUCAACCCCAAUACAUGUUCAUAUCAUUGUUACCAAUCAACUGCAUUACACUUACAAAAGACAGACUGGCCAGAUGAACCCAGGUGAAGGCUAUGAACCCUUAUUGAUGUAAUUUGUUAAAUCCACUUUAAAAUCAUUGUAAAUUAAGGAGACAGGUUUAAGAAGCCUUGAGACAUGGAUUGUGUCUGUGUACCAUUGAGGCUGAAAGGCCCCAAAAAAUGAUUUAUGUGCCCUUGAACGGGGUGUGGUAGUAGUAUGGUAGUAGGGGCCAGGCGGUGUUAGUAGUAUGGUAGUAGGGGCCAGGCGGUAGUAGUAGUAUGGUGGUGGUAGUAGUAGUAGUAUGGUAGUAGUAGGGGCCAGGCGGUAGUAGUAGGGGCCAGGCGGUAGUAGUAGUAGUAGUAGUAUGGUAGUAGUAGGGGCCAGGCGGUAGUAGUAGUAGUAUAGUAGUAGUAGGGGCCAGGCGGUAGUAGUAGUAGUAUGGUAGUAGUAGGGGCCAGGCGGUAGUAGUAGUAGUAUGGUAGUAGGGGCCAGGUGGUGUAGUAGUAGUAGUAGUAGGGGCCAGGCGGUAGUAGUAGUAUAGUGGUAGUAGGCGGUAGUAGUAGUAUGGUAGUAGUAGGGGCCAGGCGGUAGUAGUAGUAGUAGUAGGGGCCAGGCGGUAGUAGUAGUAGGCGGUAGUAGUAGUAGGGGCCAGGCGGUGGUAGUAGUAGUAGUAGUAGGGGCCAGGCGGUUGUAGUAGUAGUAGUAGGGGCCAGGCGGUAGUAGUAGUAGUAGGGGCCAGGCGGUAGUAGUAGUAGGGGCCAGGCGGUAGCGGUAGUAGUAGUAGUAGGGGCCAGGCGGUAGUAGUAGUAGUAGGGGCCAGGCGGUAGUAGUAGUAGUAGGGGCCAGGCGGUAGUAGUAGUAGUAGGGGCCAGGCGGUAGUAGUAGUAGUAGGGGCCAGGCGGUAGUAGUAGUAGUAGUAGUAGGGGCCAGGCGGUAGUAGUAGUAGUAGUAGUAGGGGCCAGGCGGUAGUAGUAGUAGUAGUAGUAGGGGCCAGGCGGUAGUAGUAGUAGUAGUAGUAGUAGGGGCCAGGCGGCGGUAGUAGUAGUAGUAGUAGUAGGGGCCAGGCGGUUGUAGUAGUAGUAGUAGGGGCCAGGCGGUAGUAGUAGUAGUAGUAGGGGCCAGGCGGUAGUAGUAGUAGUAGUAGGGGCCAGGCGGUGGUAGUAGUAGUAGGGGCCAGGCGGUAGUAGUAGUAGUAGGGGCCAGGCGGUAGUAGUAGUAGUAGGGGCCAGGCGGUAGUAGUAGUAGGGCCAGGCGGUAGUAGUAGUAGUAGGGGCCAGGCGGUAGUAGUAGUAGUAGGGGCCAGGCGGUAGUAGUAGUAGUAGGGGCCAGGCGGUAGUAGUAGUAGUAGUAGGGGCCAGGCGGUAGUAGUAGUAGUAGGGGCCAGGCGGUGGUAGUAGUAGUAGUAGGGGCCAGGCGGUGGUAGUAGUAGUAGUAGGGGCCAGGCGGUAGUAGUAGUAGUAGUAGGGGCCAGGCGGUAGUAGUAGUAGUAGGGGCCAGGCGGUAGUAGUAGUAGUAGGGGCCAGGCGGUAGUAGUAGUAGUAGGGGCCAGGCGGUAGUAGUAGUAGUAGGGGCCAG